rnacentral:rRNA from 1 species
GACGAACGCUGGCGGCGUGCCUAAUACAUGCCAGUCGAGCGAACGGACGAGAAGCUUGCUUUUCUGAUGUUAGCGGCGGACGGGUGAGUAACACGUGGAUAACCUACCUAUAAGACUGGGAUAACUUCGGGAAACCGGAGCUAAUACCGGAUAAUAUUUUGAACCGCAUGGUUCAAAAGUGAAAGACGGUCUUGCUGUCACUUAUAGAUGGAUCCGCGCUGCAUUAGCUAGUUGGUAAGGUAACGGCUUACCAAGGCAACGAUGCAUAGCCGACCUGAGAGGGUGAUCGGCCACACUGGAACUGAGACACGGUCCAGACUCCUACGGGAGGCAGCAGUAGGGAAUCAUCCGCAAUGGGCGAAAGCCUGACGGAGCAACGCCGCGUGAGUGAUGAAGGUCUUCGGAUCGUAAAACUCUGUUAUUAGGGAAGAACACAUGUGUAAGUAACUGUGCACAUCUUGACGGUACCUAAUCAGAAAGCCACGGCUAACUACGUG